GAUUGUGACCGAGCCCUGGUAUUGAACUGCCUACAUAUCCUUGGCUAUAAAAGAUUCAGGUCAUGUGUAGUUUAGAAGUGAGAAGAGCGAUGGAGUAUACCAAGGUGGAGAGCCGAUUGAGGUGCCGUCGAGGUUCCGGUCCACGGUUCUUGCCAUUACAUCCAAAAUAAAAGGAUCUAUUACAGCGAAAAUAAAAGAAAAAUACAAGAUCCUAUCUACUUCUUGUCUCGAAUCUUCCUUGGAUCUCCACUUGAUCCUUCAACAUGAAAUUGAAAAUUCACCCUAUUCUUCAGGUUGGUAUCCUACUGACUUGAAUUUGAAGAAAACUGGAAGUUGACCCUAUUCUUCAGGCGGGCACCCUGCUGCUUGCACUUGAAAUAAACUUGAACUUGUGGUAGACUUGAGCUUGAAAACCUUGUUCUUCAAGCGGCUCAUGCUACUUCUGAUUUGAAUUGAAAAACUGGAGGUUAACCCUAUUCUUCAGGAGGGAUCCUGCUGCCUCUGACUUGAACAUGAAAAUUGAAAGUUGACCCUGUUCUUCAAGCGGGCUCCUGAUGCCUCUCUAACUUGAACUUGAAAAUUGAAAGUUGAUCAUGUUCUUCAGACGGGCUCCUGAUGCCUCUCUAACUUGAACUUGAAAAUUGAAAGUUGACCAUGUUCUUCAGGCGGGCUCCUGAUGCCUCUCUAACUUGAACUUGAAAAUUGAAAGUUGACCCUGUUCUUCAGGUGGGCUCCUGAUGCUUCUCUGAUUUGAACUUAAAAUCGAUUUCUGAAAUAUUGACCCUCGUUCUCCAGGUGGGUGCCUGCAAUCAAAACAACAAAACAAACAAAAUUGUCUGCCCCAGUUUGCACUAGGAAGAUUUGUGAGCUGUUAGCAAAACUGUAAAUACCUAUGCUAUUAAUGAAAGAGAAGAGUAAAACUAAAGAAUCGACUAGGAUGUGCGUCUCCUAUGAGAUUGAGCUUUAGGAAAACUAUAAACGGAGCUUGACUAAACUUUAAAAUUGACCCUAUUCUCCAGGCGGGACCCCCGAGCUAAAGGAAAACUAAGAUUAACAACUUAAAAAAACUAAAAACUGACCCCAUUCUCUAGGCGGGACCCCUGAACUCAAGAAAAACUAAAGACUAACAAUUUAAGGAAACUAAAAACUGACCCUAUUCUCCAGGCGGGACCCCUGAACUUAAAGAAAGCCAAAGAUUAAUAACUUAAGAAAACUAAAAGUUGACCCUAUUCUCCAGGCUGGACCCUUGAACUCAAGAAAAGCUAAAGACUAACAACUUAAGGAAACUUAAAACUGACCUUAUUCUCUAGGCGAGACCACUGAACUUAAGGAAAACUAACGAUUCACAACUCAAGAAAACAAAAAACUGACCUUAUUCUCCAGGCGGGACCCCUGAACUAAAGAAAUGCUAAAGAUUAACAAUUUAAGAAAACUAAAAUUGACCCUAUUCUAUAGGCGGGACUCCUGAACUUGAGGAAAGCCAAAGAUAAGCAACUUAAGAAAAUUAAAACUGACCCUAUUCUCCAGGCGGGACCCCUGAAUUCCAGUAAAGCUAAAGACUAACAACUUAAGAAAAUUAAAAACUGACCCUAUUCUCCAGGCGGGACCCCUGACCUCAAGAAAAUCUAAAGAUUAACAGCUUAAGGAAACUAAAAAUUGACCACUUAGGAGAAACUAAGAAGUGACCCUAUUUUCCAGGCAGGAUCCUGAACUUAAAGAAAGCUAAAGACUCUUCCGACUAGAGAGACUGCCAAGGAGGUACGGUUCAUCUCAAGCAGGAAAACUUCUUGAGAGCUAAUGAUCUUCUCAACUAGGGGAAUGUCUAGGAGGUAAAAACCUUCUCAAACAGCCUUUGUGCUGAUAAAAUUUGGGCAUGACACUUGAAAAAUUCGAGCUUCCAAGCUUUGAUUUGGACAUAGUAUUCGUCCCUGUUUCAAACAAAGAAAACUUGUGAGUUUAAAACAUGGUGGUUGGUUUGUGGUCUUAACCUUGAGGGCGAUUGAUCUUACACUUGCCAUGAUAACUUUGAUUUCCAUUUGGAAGACCUUGCUUGUUAUUGGUUAACCACUUUUUCUGUCAACCCUUAUCACAGAAAGCACCUUUGAUCCAGUCAAUCCCAAUACCUUAUACCCGAAGCAUUGUGCUCAUGAAUGAUAUUUACCGAACCUUUGCAUUUCACAUGAAUACCAAAGCACGUCAAUUGUUAUCAACUCAAAGUGCAUACCACUUUUCCCUGACUUAUACCACUUUGAUGUGCUAGCCAGACUCCACUUUGUGCAAUUGGAAAGCUGGUAGCAAAUUUUGGAGUCAUUUCUCACUUGUUUUGACAAAACAAACUCAAAAAGAGGACUUAAACAAAGCAAGAGGAACAUAGUAAGGGAAUAAUGGAAAGAGAUGAUAUCUAACAAGAAAAUUACAAAGUUGAAACUUAUCUGAUGUGGAUACCAACUCCAAUGACCAUGACAUGCAUUUUGGGUUAAGAGGCCUAAUCUGUCAAGCAAGUCUAAUGUUCAACUGUUGUUAUACCUCUAAGCCGUGAAACUGGGCUUCAAUGCUCCGAUUAUCCUAUCUGAUUCACGAUCCUUAUUCAACUUGUAGUGCCCGAAGGGUCUUCACCAUCAAGCCUUUUUCAUUUUGUUCUUUCUCUCAAUUCAUCGUCGCUUAUGAUGCCCGUGAGAGUUUUCACCAAUAAGACUAUCUCAUUUUAUUCUUUUCUUCUUAUUUCCUCUGAUUCUGCAGAUGACAAGGGGUUAACCAUGGUAAAAAUAUCAUAUGCUCCUGGCACGACUAACUCGACACUCUCAAAGAUUAUCUGGAAGGUGGUUUUUGGAUUGUAAUGUGGCUUUUGGACAGGGUUAGAAAGAAAGGAUAUUAUAAAGGCUCAAAAUAACUAAGACAACAGAGUUAACUUAUUUGCAACUUUUGGAAUCCAUUUUAAAAAACUUUUCCCCAAUUUCUAAAACAAGAGAAUUUGAUGAGAUUAUGAAAUAUUUUAUUUGGUGCGACCAAAUCGUAAGGCUGCCUACGUAUCUUGUGGUGACAAGAAUCAGGUCGAACGUAGUUCAAAAGAAUACUUUUUGUUGUUGCUAUUUUUCUUUUUUCUUCUUUUUCCUCUUUUUUUUUCCUUUUUUCUUUUUGAAAUUUUCUUUUGGAAUGAACUUUCUAAAACAAACCUUAUGGGGGCAUGAUUUAUUUUUAGUGACUCUAACUCGAUUCCAAAAGAGGGGAGGUCAAAGAAAUCAACACUGGCUCAAAAGGGUACCUAAGGGCAUAAAGUGUUUGGGUAGCUGAAAGAGGGCCUCCCAAUCACUAAAAAUGCCAAGUACAACACAUGCAACUUGAGGGUGAAAUAUGAAGAUCAUGCAUAACAUUUCUUUUGCAGCAUCAGCAUUGAUAUCCCAGAUAUGCCUUCCAUCUUUGUUUAGUGUCAUGUCAAGUACAAAACUCUCAUUGGGUGAUUUCUUCUUCACAAUGAGUACUCUCCGUCAGUUUGGGAUAAACUUCCUUGGCUUUAUCUUGUAACUUGAGAUACACUUGAACUCAAAGUUGCUUGCUUCAAAUUGUCUAGGACGCACUCUCUUAUACCAAAUCCUUGUUGUCCUAUUAACUUCCCAAACUAUCUGCCCAGUUUCAUACAAUAUGGGCUUAAAAUGAUCUCAAAAUGUCCAAAUCUUUACUUAUUUCUCUCAAAUGUCCCUGUCAUAUUCAAACCUUGUUUCAUUAUUUCAUGAUUAGACUAAAUUUUAAGACCAGACUGAGAAUUCCACGUACAUGUCAUGUCACUAGAGUCAUCAUGAAAAGAACUAUAAACAGAAAAGAGAACCAAACAAAAAUGGACUAGAAAUAAUAGAAAACGGGAGAUUGCAUUAGACAGACGGUGAAAGGGUUUGAACAACAAAACAAGCAAAAUAGACAUGGGUUACAACCCUGGAACAAUCCUAGAUAACACUAGACGAGUUACUACAACUAAACGAACUAGGCAAAAUAAGAAGAAGAAGGAUUUGAGCCACAAGACAAUAUCCGGAUUACAACCCUGAAAUAACCCGGACAACAGAAAUGACCACAAAAUAAACCACCAAAACUCCUCCCUGGCUAGCCAAUAAAGGAGUGUCUUUCCAAUUACCAAGCUCGCGAUCUUAGCCACUGAGUCUCAAAUCAACAUUACUAGGACCUUCAUAAGUCUCCAUCACAUUAACCUCGGCAAGUGGCUUUGGGGUCCCCUUUGCCAACUCAUUCUUAAAAUUAACUUCUGGAACUGAGACUGAUAGCACUGAAAACUUUGCGGUAAGUGGCCUUCCAAGGGAUUCAGGAGAGUUUUCAUAUUCCUUUUCAACACAAAUAUUGCCCACCAUAUGCGUCUCAUUAUGAACAAGCAAUUGACUUUGGCUAGUAUCUGAUGCAUUUGGAUUUUGCACGAUAAUGUCACCUGCAUCAACAAGUUUCUGGACUUCUCUUUUCAGAUGCCAACACUUUUCUAUGCUGUGCCCCGGUGCAUUAGAGCAAUAUGCGCACCUUUGAGAAAAAUCAAAAUUCUUUGGAAGGGGGUUCGGCAUUUUUAUCUGAAUUGGCUUCAACAUAUCCAAUUGCCUCAACCUUUGGAACAAACUAGCAUAUGAUUUUCCAAUAGGAGUGAAAGACUUUUCUCUUUGCUGCUGCCUUUUCAUUUUGUACUCCAGCCUCGGUUGGAACCUCUUGCGCGUAGGUGAUUGACAUGCUUGAGGAGGCGGGUAAAAUAUUUGUGGAGGUGGUGCAUGCCAAUGCGAGUCUUGUGGAUGUGGAGCAUAUGGUGGUGCAUUAUGGAUAGAGUAGUGGGAAAGUGAGGUAUGACUUUGGGGAUUUUAUGGAGAGAAGUAGCAUUGGGGAGGAUUAUCUAGAGUACGUGGAUAUUCAUGGGGUCGAUGUUGAGGCUGAAAGCAUUGAGCAGGAACGCCCAUUGGAUCUUGUUGUUGGCGGGGCUCAACAACAUCAGGAGGGCUAUUUUUGGGAAAUGUAGUUGGAGGACGAACAAUGGAGCUACUACGGAGGUUAGGAAAGUUGUGAUAAGAGGGAAAAUUCGGAGAAUAUGGUAGAUCAUUUGACACUAUGACUGGAGCUUGGGUAAGGGUAGCAUCUAGGAAUCUAGGUGGUGGCGGGGGUGGUGCCUUCCCAGUCAUAGGAUGACCUGAUACAUGUCCGCUAUAUGUUGUCUCAACAUCCUUACCUUUUCAACCAACCCAAUGUCUUGUUCAACCAACUGGUUUCGGGUACCAGUAUCGACCAACUCAACUCUGUUGUCGUCUGCCAUUGCCUUUCAGACUUUAUGUUGCAGGGAAGAGUUACCAGUUUAAGAACCACAAACCAACCACCCUUUUGCUAUAAUAAAGAUAACAAAUAGGAACAAAAUGAAGUCAUCACGUUAGCGUUAGGGCAUUUAACAUAAUAUAAUCUCACGUUAUGUGCAAUGCACCUAGUCACAGUUAUUGGUUCUAAAAUGACUUCGCGGGCAUGAAGGUCAUAUGGCAUAAUCCCAAUUUUACUCUCAUUGCCCUUUCCUUCUUCAUUUCCUCUCUUGCGCUCCUUGAUUUGCUCAUUUCUUUCCUCUCUUUUCUUUUUGAUUAUCGCUCUUUUCUUGCAUUCCGCAGUUUCCUCUCAUUUUUCACAUCCCACAACUUCAUCUCUUUUCUUUUCUUUUUUUAAAAAAAAAUUAAAAAUGAUUUGAUCGAACUCGAUGUAGGUUGCCUACGUAUCAUGUUCCACAUGAAUCAGACCAAGCGUAGUUCUGGAAAAUUAUUGGACAAAAUUAAAAAAAAUAAGAAUCUUUUUGGAUUUUUUCACUUAUAAUAUUUGUUUGGUUUUCACAUACAAAAUAGGAAAUACGAUAACAAAAGACUCGACAAACUCAACUAGACUAGGAUAGACUCCGAAACCACCUAAAAUAUUCGAUACUACUGUACAAGACUAGAAAAUAUAAGGCGACAUGAAUGACAGACUCAAAACAUAAAAGUAUCCUCAAGCAACUCAUGAAUGCAGUGGUCCUGAUUGGAUGGUCCUGGGGCGUCUGUCAUGCUCAAGCUCCGGCAAAUGGAUAUAUACCAUAAAGAGAAGGAUAAGACCAAACAGAGUUGGUAACUCAGGACACUAUGUGACACUACAACUCCUCUUAUUGGAGACAUACAAGACAUGAUUGGGCUAUUUUUGCAAAAAAUGGCCUACGUGGCCAAAGGUGGCUAGAAGUGAAAACUCAAUUAGGACGACCUCGAAAACAUGAAAACACCUCACGAAGGCCUAUACGACCCCCGAUCUCCCAGGAAUCACGGUCUCUAAAAUUACUUUACAAAAAUGACCCGCUUUGCAUAAAUGACCUAUGUGGUAAAAAAAAUGGCUAAGCAUGCAAACUCAACAGGAAUGGACCUUUAAACUAAGAGGAUACCUUUUUGUGGACUCAUGACUCUGAGACAUGGGUUAACAAGCCACUUUGCAAAAAUAGUCUUAUUUUACAAAAAGGCCGAUGUGGCCAAAAGUGAUUAGACAUGCAAGAUUUGGCUACGACCCCCGAAGCCAAGAACAUAAGACUCACUAGGAAGACCAGACCCUAUGUGGGCUGCCUACGUAUCCCGCCCCUAAAGACGAGAAUCAGGUAUGCGUAGUUCAGGAAGAUUGGAUACAUGAGAGAAUUUAAAAAAAACACCAAUUUGGAGAAAACAUAUUUUUUGUCUUUUUAAAAAAAAAUGAUGAAUAUAAAAUCUUUUUGGAUUUUCUUUUUCUCUUUUUUUUAUUUUUUUUAUUUUUUGGAAAAUGAUGGGAAAGUGCAAAAUCUUUUUGGAUUUUUCAUUUUCAUUUUUGUUUUUGGUCUUUUCUUGAAAGAGUUGUGAAAGAAAAAUAUAAUUGGGCCCUACUUGAUUCAUCUUUAUACUUCACCCUCUUUUCUUUCUCAUUUACCCUCAACCAUCAUUUAUCCUCCAAAUGACCCAUUUACCCUUAAAGAAUUCAACAUGUAGCACAUAGGAAUGAUUAAAUGUGUUUUUGGGCCAUGGGACCAUCUGACAUAAUUUGGAUAGGUCUCCUACAAAGGGACACGGUGCCUAGGACCGAGCCCUGCUAGGUCUAAAUGACAUGAUACAAAUAAGAAUGACCUAAAGGCUAAACUACGUUUGGGGUUCACUAGACAAGGCAAUUUGGGGCGGCACGUGGUCAAUGGCGGCUGCUCUAGCUGUCCGCCCAUUCCACGCUCCCACGCCACCCCCCUAAAGACACGAGUGACUCACAAACGACCGUGUACGCUCAAACGUACUCCGGAAGACUUGUUGCAGAAAGAAGACUCAUGGUUAUGCAAAUGAUGCCAGUUAUAAAGCAGUAAAUACAUAAAAACUAGCAAAUAAUAACAAACUAUAAAAACAUAACAAAAAUCAAAUAAAGCAAAUAAAAAACAUAAAAACCUCUACCGAAUAUUCUAAAAAGCCAACAAGAUCGUAGAAUCAUCUCGAACAUGUAACUCCCCAGCAGAGUCGUCAAAGCUGUCACAUCUAUUUUUUUUACGUCACUAACCCCCUUUAAAAGAUAAAGAAGAUUUUUAAGCUCAAAAGGGUUUUCAAUUUGAAAGUGACAAAAAGAUUGUGUUUCAAAGUAUUUUCAGAGUCGCCACCUGACAUUUGAUUUCGGUGUGCCAGGUCACCGUUGAAAAAUAAUUUUUCCUUUUGAAAACACAUUUAAACUCUAAAAUAGAGUCUGCACCAGAGAUUCUAGAUAAGGGGGUUCAUUUGACUCGGGGAGAAGGUAUUAGGCAUUCCCCAAUUUCCGUAACUAGUACGGUUGCGUACUCGAUCAAGUUCGCUUUAAAGAAUAUUUUAAUUGAGGUAAAAACACAAAAAAGAAAAAUAAGUACAAAAGAGGCUCGAGGUCGUCCCCACCUAAUAAAAGAAAAAUAAGAGAAAAAAAAGGAAGUACUAAAAGAAAAAAUACUAAGAGUUAUAAUCUAUCCUACUAUAUGCUUCCUCCGCAAUGUAGCCCGGGUCUCCGUUUACAUUCACUUUAGGACAUACCCCGGAUAAAAAUAUAUACAAACUCUUCGGGGUAUUCCCCCGGUGAAACCAUAAUAAACUAAAGGGGAACGACCUCUUACCUCGUAAAUUCAAACAAAAUCCUAAGGUUUGCCUACCUAAGUGUGGUCGACCUAGGCAUGCUCAUACUCGAAAAAGUAAAUAAAACAAGACUAGAAGAACAAUACAAUUAUCUUGAACCUAAAUUUCUUUUAAUUUUACACAGCAAUCCAAAUAAUAAAAUCAAUCCAAAAUAAGUUUUUAAGUUGGAACUCCUUACUUCAUUAAAGCUAAAUCGCAUUCGGUUGAAGCCGUAAGAUAAAAAAAUAAUGCCAGCAAGCCUACUUUAAAGCAUGUACACAACAAAGAAAAACAUUCUUAUUUUCACUUUCACGUCAUUAGCCAAUCCAGUUACCAAACUCAAGCAAAUUUCAUCAAAGGAUCAAAAUGUAUCACAAAUAAUCAUGGAAACCAUAUGAAUCAACCAUUCAAACACAUAUAUCACAAAAAUCAAGAGGUAGAAUAUUAAAGAUAAAAAUGGACCUUUAAGUAGCUUUUCAAUAGCAGAAUUUUCUCCAAACAGCUUUACACUCGCUCAAGCGAGGAAAGAAUCCGUCGACGGGAACUCGACAGAGCAGCAAACAAUAAUAACUAUUGGACAGGAACCGCGAAUCAGCCCGUGAGCGAACGCAGAACUCGAAAACCUCGAACGGACCACCGUGUGUACUCAAUGAAGAAGAAAGACCCUAAAAAUAGACAGUGUAUCCAUGGUCCUAUGUGCCGCCGCAACUUAGUUCAUCGGUCCUUAACUCGUACUCAAUUCUCUCUCGACAUAAGCCAUGGUUUGUUCGGUAUGAGCAGAAAGCAGAAUAACAGGGUAUUUUUCGCAACGCGCUUAGCUUUUAUUAGUGGUUCGAUCAGAGAGUGAAAAACACAAAUAGGAGGAGAGAGAGAUAAAAUGGCAGUAGUCCGGCGGGUUUGAAAUGGCCGGUGGCGACAGAUUUGAGAGGAGGGAGUGUGGCCAUUUUGGACUUGCUGCUGACGGCGUCGCCACUCAACAAUGAUCAAUUUCGGCAAGGCAACAACUCGAGUGAGGGAGAUGGCAGAGGCGGGUGAAGAGAGUGGUCGUUAGGUGUUGAGGGGAUGCUGUUGUGUGUGUAUCUGUAUGCUCGAAUUUACGACGAGUGAUAGAACUGAGCAGCAGCCUUGUCUAUCAAAUGAAGAGAGAGCUUUGAAGAUGAAGAGGCGGCCGGAUUUUGGAGAGGAGGGGUGUGGCUCUCUUUAGAAUGGAGGAGUUCCCUUAGGGUUUUGGGGGUUAAUUUGAUUUUUAUAUGGUGGUGGGGAGUAAGUAUUGGCCAUUGGAUUAAACAUUAUGAGUGACGAAGAUUUAAUCUUGCAUUUAAGUGGAAAGUGGGAUAAUGGGUUAGAAAGAAUGGGCUUUUGUCUUGCUGGGCCACUAAAAUCUGAAAAUGAGCUCCUAAUUGGC
rnacentral:lncRNA from 1 species